rnacentral:rRNA from 1 species
CUACCUUUAGGUACGGGACAACAGUUGGAAACGACUGCUAAUACCGUAUGUGCCCUAUGGGGAAAGAUUUAUCGCCUAAGGAUGGGCCCGCGUUGGAUUAGCUAGUUGGUGGGGUAAAGGCCUACCAAGGCGACGAUCCAUAGCUGGUCUGAGAGGAUGAUCAGCCACACUGGGACUGAGACACGGCCCAGACUCCUACGGGAGGCAGCAGUGGGGAAUAUUGGACAAUGGGGGCAACCCUGAUCCAGCCAUGCCGCGUGAGUGAUGAAGGCCCUAGGGUUGUAAAGCUCUUUCAGCGAGGAGGAUAAUGACGUUACUCGCAGAAGAAGCCCCGGCUAACUUCGUGCCAGCAGCCGCGGUAAUACGAAGGGGGCUAGCGUUGUUCGGAAUCACUGGGCGUAAAGCGCACGUAGGCGGAUUGAUAAGUUAGGGGUGAAAUCCCAGGGCUCAACCCUGGAACUGCCUUUGAUACUGUCAGUCUUGAGACCGAGAGAGGUGAGUGGAACUCCGAGUGUAGAGGUGAAAUUCGUAGAUAUUCGGAAGAACACCAGUGGCGAAGGGGCUCACUGGCUCGGUACUGACGCUGAGGUGCGAAAGGUGGGGAGCAAACAGGAUUAGAUACCCUGGUAGUCCACGCCGUAAACGAUGGAAGCUAGUUGUCAGGCAGCAUGCUGUUUGGUGACGCAGCUAACGCAUUAAGCUUCCCGCCUGGGGAGUACGGUCGCAAGAUUAAAACUCAAAGGAAUUGACGGGGCCCGCACAAGCGUGGAGCAUGUGGUUUAAUUCGAAGCAACGCGCAGAACCUUACCAGCCCUUGACAUUUGGUGCUA